rnacentral:rRNA from 1 species
CAAUAGCGUAUAUUAAAGUUGUUGCAGUUAAAAAGCUCGUAGUUGAAUUUUUGCUUGCCGCCGAUGUCGGAACUUCCGUACGUUCGGCGGCGUGCAUCCUUGGGUGGAACCUGUGUGGCAUUAGGUUGUCGUGCAGGGGAUGCUCAUCGUUUACUGUGAAAAAAUUAGAGUGUUCAAAGCAGGCUUACGCCGUUGAAUAUAUUAGCAUGGAAUAAUAAGAUAGGACCUUGGUACUAUUUUGUUGGUUUGCGCACCGAGGUAAUGAUUAACAGGGACAGUUGGGGGUAUUCGUAUUCCAUUGUCAGAGGCGAAAUUCUUGGAUUUCUGGAAGACGAACUACUGCGAAANCANNNACCAAGGAUGUUUUCAUNAA